UGUGUGUUGUGUGUGUUGUGUGUGUGUGUGUGUGUGUGUGUGUGUGUGUGUGUGUAUGUGUGUUACACACACACACACACACACCCACAACACCACACACACACACACACACACAACACAUUAUGUAUAUUAUAUUAUGUAUAUAUAUUAUAUAUAUAUAUGUAUAUGUAUAUAUACCAACACACACACACCA